UACGGAGGGUGCAAGCAUUAAUCGGAAUUAUUGGGCGUAAAGGGCGCGUAGGCGGAUAUGUAAGUCAGAUGUGAAAUUCCGAAACUCAAUUUCGGAGCUGCAUUUGAAACUGCAAAUCUCGAGGAUUGGCGGAGAGAACGGAAUUCCACGUGUAGCGGUGAAAUGCGUAGAUAUGUGGAAGAACACCGGUGGCGAAAGCGGUUCUCUAGCUUAUACCUGACGCUGAGGCGCGAGAGCAAGGGGAUCAAACAGG
rnacentral:rRNA from 1 species